AACAUUUAAACAUUUAAACAUUUAAACAUUUAAACAUUUAAACAUUUAAACAUUUAAACAUUUAAACAUUUAAACAUUUAAACAUUUAAACAUUUAAACAUUUGAACAUUUAAACAUUUAAACAUUUAAACAUUUAAACAUUUAAACAUUUAAACAUUUAAACAUUUAAACAUUUAAACAUUUAAACAUUUAAACAUUCCAAUAUCAAUUAACAAACCCAACUUUACACUGAACCUGUUCAGCCGACGCUCAUGCAACGAACGCACCGUUACACCAAGUUACACUGAACCCGUGCGACGCUCCUGAAACGAACGCACCAUGGUUCGAGCGAGCUGUCACUUUUUUUACUCGCGCGUGUCCGAUCAUGUUCGUGUUGACGGUGUUUGCUGAAGUUUUAGGGGAAACCCGGAUUUUUCGCGUUGAGGCGGUCGUUUAAGCCAAUUGGCCACAUCCGGCGAUUGGCAAUCAAGUUGCCGAACGCGAUCCUAGUAUUGGUGGACGGAUGUUCGAAGUUCGAAUUGGAGCGGCUCCGGGAUGGCGGAACUUUGGGGACUUCUUCCACACGUUUCCGGCAGAAAAAAUCUGCCGAGUCACCGAUCCGGAAAAGCAAAUUUGAAAUUGUCAACCAUUUUGGGGACUUCUCCCACCGGGUUCGCUAACGGGACACAACCCAACGGAUGCGUUCGAUUGGGAGAGGACCCGGCGCCUGCUGCGGUCACUUUCGGCCGUGUUUGUUCCGGAUGGUGAGCUCGUCUCGCCUGGAGGCGAAAAUCGUUAGGGGCUAAUUUCACUAAGGAUUGUGCUUCUAGAUUACGCGAAUGUCUAUCCCAAUUACGAAGCAGUUGAUCCGGCACCGGCUACGGACAUUCCGAAUAAUUUCAAACAGUGCGGAUUGAAGCGGAAUAACAAAAGAAAACGACACGGAAAAAAAGUGCUAAAUUAAGUGAAAUUAAAGAAAACGAUAAAAAUACAAUAAAAUUUACCAUAUUGACCAUUAAUUUCAAUGUAUAAAUAUAUGUUUUACAGUACAAUUUAGUGGAGAAAAAAAAAUAAAUACAAUGAAAAUACAAUGAAUCAUACUGUAGUUAUUAUUUAUUUCAAUGUACGAAUAUAGUUUAAACCGUACUAUUUAGUAUGGAAAAAUCCAUGAAGAACUGUGAAUCUACUGUGCAAACCAUUGUAAUGGUUACUGUUUUUAUUAUAAAUGUAUGAUGUUUUCUAUGAUAAGGGUAAUUUUUUGGACGGAAAAGGCAUCAAUGAAAAUACGGUAGAAUAUAUAGUUUUUGGUUUUUUUUUGUAUGGGGAAAAGUCGAAAUUUUUAUGGUGACUGUGCCUAACAAUACCCCUUUUUUAUAGUAAUUUCCCAAAAUAAGAUAUAUUCUAUGGUGAAAAAACAUAAAGGCUACUGUAGAAUCAUGGUAAAAAUAACCAUAGAAUUUAUCGUGUGAUAACCAUAAAAUCUAUUGUUGGUUUAUAGUAAAACUUUAUGCGGGACCGGCUACAAACAUUUCGAACAACGUCAGAAAGUUCGGAUUGAAGCAGAAUAUUAAAAGAAAACGACGCGGAAAAAAAGUACUAUUUUUUUUAAAUCUACGAAAAAAACUAUAAAAAUACAAUAAAACUUACCAUAUUGACCAUUAAUUUUAAUGUAUAAAUAUAUGUUUUACAGUACAAUUUAGUGGAGAGAAAACAAUAAAUACAAUGCAAAUACAAUGAAUCAUACUGUAGUUAUUAUUUAUUUCAAUGUACGAAUAUAGUUUAAACCGUACUAUUUAGUAUGGAAAAAUCCAUGAAGAACUGUGAAUUUACUGUGCAAACCAUUGUAAUGGUUACUGUUUUUAUUAUAAAUGUAUGAUGUUUUCUAUGGUCUGGGUAAUUUUUUGGACGGAAAAGGCAUCAAUGAAAAUACGAUAGAAUGUAUAGUUUUUGGUUUUUUUUUUUGUAUGGGGAAAAGUCGAAAUUUUUAUGGUGACUGUGCCUAACAAUACCCCUUUUUUAUAGUAAAUUCCCGAAAUAGGAUAUAUUCUAUGGUGAAAAAACAUAAAGGCUACAGUAGAAUCAUGGUUAAAAUAACCAUAGAAUUUAUCGUGUGAUAACCAUAAAAUCUACUGUUGGUUUAUAGUAAAUCUUUAUGCGGGAAAACUUUUCCAUUAGCUUUAUGACCAUAUUCAUAAUUGUAGACAUUAUCUUCAACUUUGCAGUAUUUUUUUUAACUUCAUUAGAGUAAAUUUCAAUCUAAACUGAGAUUUGUUUAUAAGUUCAAUACAAUUUCACAUGUUUUUAAACCAAUUCACUAUCAAGUUUGUUUUUGACGACGUCUGAGUUAAUUUUAGCAGUCGAGUGAAGCUAUGUUAGAGAUAUUAUUAUUAAAGGUUUUUCUAUUAGGUACUUUUUUACUCCAUUUUGGAGAAAAGGUAAACUCAUUGAUCUAUGCUUAUUCUUUUGUGUGAUAGUUAUCAAAAUUUCAAAAUCAUUCAAUUGAUUUUUUUUUCAAUAUUUUGUGAAUGUAUAUUUUUAAAUAUACAUAUUUUCCGACCAUGAGAAAGCACACGGGAAUAUUUAUUUUUCUUAUUACUUGGGUAAAUAUGAAAACAUACCAAAACUUGUAUGUUGACAACAGUAAAACUGAACCAUGUUAUUCCAACGGUAAAAGAAUUCCAAAAAAUAAAACCAUUUCAGUAUCAGGUUGGAGUUUAUGGAUUUUGCAACAUUGCUUGAAUACCGAAACAUGUUAUUGACAUGGUUUUAUUUUUUGGUAUUCCCACGCCCUUUGAAUAUCAGAUUUUGGUAUUGCUGUCGUCUUCUACUUACAACAUUUUGGUAUGAAUUCAUGGUAUUUUACUAUCUAUUACUGGGAAUCCAAGGGCACAAUUUGGUCGGUGUCAUUUACUUCAGUAAUACCUAUAUUUUCUAUUUUCGUGUCGGUUUUCUUUGUCCAGUAUUUUAUUUCUGCGACUGUGAAAAAUCAAAACACAAGAAAUAAAACCUCUUAGUUUCUUAUGUCUCAGGAAAAUCUAGAUAAAUGAUGAUUCCAAUUUGUCCACAGUGAUAUUCUUCGCCACAUCGAAUACAUAUGGGUCAUUUCCCCCACACAAAGGUACAAAUUCGAAAUAGACUUUUUUCUGAUCAAGCUCAAAUUUGGCCAAGCUAUUUAUACUAUCAAAACAUGCAAGAAACUUGAAUUUCUGCUAAAUUCGACCAUCCCUUCUUUUUUGGCACCGCCCCAGAGUAAUGCGAUUUUUGCCAAUUAUCCAAAAAUAAUACUCCUGUUCAGUGUUGCAAAUGAGUGAUAGAAAAGCUAUCAAUUGAUUAUCUCUACACCAAAAACAUCCGAGAGUAUAGCGGCCGUCACUAUAGCUUGAGAGAUCUCUUCUUGUAUCUCGUGAUUCGCAGCGAUGUCAUUCUCUCUCUAUCACUCCUCCCCUUUUCCUCGACUGUACGCUCUCACCACUGAGUCUCUCAAUCUCUCCGAAAACUGCAAUGAAAGAACGCGAGAUGGCUAUUAGAAGCCGACCACGCAUGACGUCCCUUAAAACUGCGCUUGCAGAAAUUGGUUUUGUGCCGGCUUUUAUGGUUCAACGCUGUGAGGGUUGGAUGAUCGUGCAAGCGGGAAUAAGAGAUAAAAGGAAAAUGUCAAUCGCGAGUUUGUAAACACAAAAACGUGUUCGGCUAUGUUCGGCGCUGAGAGUUUCAAUAAGGAGAGAAGAGCAGUUGACCUAUAGAUGUUAUGGUACCAAAUUUUUUGUAAUUAAAAGACGCAACUUUUGGUACCCAGACAUGUAUAGGUCAUCGCUGAAAUUUUAAAGUUAUCGCAGUUUUAGUGAAAAAAGUUGAUUUUUUGCCGAUUUUGUCAUUCUCCGGUUUGCGCGUCGAAAAACACGGAUUUUAUUUUCAAAAAAUCAUAUCUCGGAAUCCUGUUAAUGAACUCCUCCCAUUUUUUUAGUAUGUUAUGUAAAAAUGUCCGGGGAAUCCGAUAAAAAUAUUUCCAGACAUAGGCUCUUUGGUCCAGACACCGCCAAAACGGCAUUUUAAAGUUUCAUACGCCCUUUUCAUAUGUUAGGUUAGAUUUUUGAAACUUCUUACUAUUUUUCUUCGAAAGGUCAACUUAUUACCUUUCAUUUGCGUAUAAGACAAUUGAAAUCGGUUAAAAUGGCGAGGAGUUAUGAUUUUUCAAAAAAAUUGGUUUUUGCGAAAAUCGACGAAAAUGGCCAUUUUUCAGACCACCCUAACACAGCGUAGGUCACCCUAAUGGCCAAACAAAAAAAUACGGGUCUAAUUAUUUCGGCUAGGGAACCCCCAGAAAAAUUUUGAGCCCGAUCCGAGCACUUUUGUUUUUUUCCAUGCUGUUUUCGUGGGGAAUUGCUGUAUAUAGGGUAUAUGGCCCUAUUUUGGACCUACUAUGCAAAGCGUCAACACAUUUCGCAUGGUUCUCAGGAACGGUCUAACUAAUUUGGCUCGUUUCAGGAUUGUUUUGUGCCUUAAUUUAUGCUUAACAAAGUGUACUAUUGAAAAUUGAAAAUAAUUUAACCAUUUCAUUGUAAUAAGCAUUUCAAGUAAAACAUUUUUUGGAUGCUUUUUGGACUUAUUGAAUGUAUUUUGGAGACAUCGCUGAACCUAUUUUGGACCCACACUCUGAUUGGUUGAAAUUUGGACAACUCGAAUUGCGGCGUGCGGCGGCAACACGCACACUUACAAAAAACUCAGUUUGAUAAACCAAAGGGCCGAUUGUAAUUUGGAAAAUAUUAAUUUCAGAAAUUAAAUAAUUAUGAUAAAACAAUGGAUUUGAAUUUGAAAACGUGUUUUAAUUAUAUUGAAUGGAAACUCACGCAUCUUUAGCAGAUAUUUACAAUUUGCGUAUUCUUACGACCUAAUUGUUCAAGCAUUAGAACAUGAAAGACAACCCGUUAUCAGUCGCAAUAAAAACAUCUUAACUUAAAAUCAAAUGAAUGACAGAGAUACAUAACAAGUUACAAUGAAAAAAGGUUCUCAAUUUUACGCAGAGCUUAAGUUCAAAUAUGAUUAAACAAUGAAGAAAUUUUAAAGGGAGAUUAUAGCUUGUAACUCUUCAUUUUGCGGAAAAAUCUCAAACCUAUCAAAGUCACCCAGAUUUUCGGUAAUCAGAUAUGUCCCAAAUAAUAAAAUUCAUAAAGUUAACAUCGUAUUAACCUCUUAUGCUAAUUUUUAUUUUUCUAGCUGGUUCAAUUGUGUUUCUAACAUGAUUGACACGGUUAAAUCUAAAAGUGUAAUUUAUUAUAAUUCCAACAGGGUAGCCAGUUUGCAUUUUUUGAAGCAAAUUUUAAAAAUAUAUGCAGCUAAAUUGGUGAUAAUGAUGUUAAGACAAACAUGAAUCAACAUCAGUUUAAAUUUUGGGAUACUUUGCAAUCGGUCCUUACAAUCAUCUAAAUCUCUAUCAUCAAUUUGCAUUUUUAUCGUUUAAAAAACACAUUUUGAUUGUUUCUGUUAAUCAUUUGCUUUUUAAAGCUUAGAUUUUUUUCAAAUAAUUACAGUAAAGAAAUGCAAUUCAAAAUAUUAAAUUUAAAAUUUCAAUUAAUGUUAAUGAAAUAUCGAAAUAAAUUGAUAAACAAAACUGGCAACACCUUGUUAUACAUGUGUUGGUGAUAGCCUUGAACCGACGGCAAAGUAGCUCCAAAAACUGAUCCAACGCGGCUGAUUUGAAAAAAUAUUUUGAAUUGAGUUUUUUUCGAUAAUAGAAUAAUUAUUUCAAUGGUUUGGUGACGAAAAACACAAAAGAAUUAAAUAGACAACAGUUACAUUGCUCGGAAACCGGACGAAAUUGCUUGGUGUCAGUGCAAAACAGAAAAAAUCAUCAAGGUGUCGCGAGCCAAAUCCGAUAAGCAACGAAACCGGAAUAUUUGGACCUAAUCGAUGUGCUAGGAAAAUGUUAGGCAAUACUGAUGGCAUUGGAAAAAGUGGCUGAAAAAGUGGAAAUAAUCAAAAAUGUUAACAUUUUUGGAAGAGGUAAGCUACAAAACGAUCCUGCUUACACUUUCUGUUGGUUGGAUUCAGUGAAUUCGUACUUUAAAAGCCUGAACUACCUCGAUUAAUAAAAAUAGGUCCAAAAUAGGUACUAGGUCCAAAAUAGGGUCAUAUACCCUAUAUAUAUAUAUAUAUAUAUACAGCAAUUCCCCACGAAAACAGCAUGGAAAAAAACAAAAGUGCUCGGAUCGGGCUCAAAAUUUUUGUGGGAGUUCCCUGGCCGAAAUAAUUAGACCCGUAUUUUUUUGUUUGGCCAUUAGGGUGACCUACGCCGUGUUAGGGUGGUCUGAAAAAUUGCCAUUUUCGUCGAUUUUCGCAAAAACCACUUUUUUCGAAAAAUCAUAACUCCUCGCCAUUUCAACCGAUUUCAAUUGUCUUAUACGCAAAUGAAAGGUGAUAAGUUGGCCUUUCAAAGAAAAAUAGUAAGAAGUUUCAAAAAUCUAGCCUAACAUAUGAAAAGGGCGUAUGCAACUUUAAAAUGCCGUUUUGACGGUGUCUGGACCAAAGAGCCUAUGUCUGGAAAUAUUUUUAUCGGAUUCCCCGGACAUUUUUACAUAACAUACUAAAAAAUGGGAGGAGUUCAUUAACAGGAUUCCGAGAUAUGAUUUUUUGAAAAUAAAAUCCGUGUUUUCUGACGCGCCGCGCGCAAAAACCGGAGAAUGACGAAAUUGGCAAAAAAUCAACUUUUUCACAAAAACUGCGAUAACCAAAAAUUUCAGCGAUGACCUAUACAUGUCUGGGUACCAAAAGUUGCGUCUUUUAAUUACGAAAAUAAAAAUAUUUCCAGACAUAGGCUCUUUGGUCCAGACACUGUCAAAACGACAUUUUAAAGUUUCAUACGCCCUUUUCAUAUGUUAGGCUAGAUUUUUGAAACUUCUUAUUAUUUUUCUUUGAAAGGCCAACUUAUCACCUUUCAUUUGCGUAUAAGACAAUUGAAAUCAGUUAAAAUGGCGAGGAGUUAUGAUUUUUCGAAAAAAGUGGUUUUUGCGAAAAUCGACGAAAAUGGCCAUUUUUCAGACCACCCUAACACGGCGUAGGUCACCCUAAUGGCCAAACAAAAAAAUACGGGUCUAAUUAUUUCGGCCAGGGAACCCCCAGAAAAAUUUUGAGCCCGAUCCGAGCACUUUUGUUUUUUUCCAUGCUGUUUUCGUAGGGAAUUGCUGUAUAUAUAAAAAAAAAUCGACGGUAUUGUUCGAACGCGAAUCAAUUCAACACGGAACGUCAGAUCGAGGUACUCUUUGUUGCGUUAGGUUCGUAUAAGUCCAAGGAAGGUUCUUCCGACAAAAAGUUGCAACUUUGGCCACUCUGGAACCGAUUCCGGAAAAUCUGCAGAUUGUAGGGGAAAAGUUACGUAAAAUCAAAUUUUGAUCACAGGAGGCUGAAUAAGCAAAAAAAAGUUAAAAAAAAACCCGAUUUAAUAUCACCAGAGGUAAAAUAGAGCCUUUCUUACAAAAUGAUGAAACUCGGAGAAAUAUAUUGGUGCAAUUAAUUAUUCAAAAACAUAAUGAUACCAUCCAGUGAGAAUUUUACCUAAAGCUUCGAAUCUUUUUAGGCUAAACCUCAAAUGCCAUUUUUUUUAAUUUCGGAAGUACAUUAUUUGUCGCAAGACAUUUAAAUUUAAUUAAGAAAAACAUAUUGGAUUGACAUUAUUAGAAAAAAAUAAAGGGUACUCAGUCCAUAAUGUUAGUCUAUGAUUAACUAAAAAAAAAUAUGUAUCGCUAUUGCACUUUGUCGAUCAAUUAUGAGAAGCCAGAAAGAACACUUUCACGCGCAGCGUAAAACGCGCAAGCGUAAAAGCGCUGGCGUUGAAGCUUCGACUUGACGACUUGUCGAGCUUUCGAGCGAGAACCUCCAAAAAUGGCUAUGACCACAUUUACUGGUCGAAAAUUGUGAAUCGAAAAAUAAAAUGUUCGUCUCCGACCCCACGGCUACAGAUCUGGCUUUUAAAAAUUGUGGGUUUUACGAGCGGUUUUCCAGUGAUGGAAGACACAAAUUUUUAAGAGCGGAUACAGACAUCGGCCAUGUAUUUCAGAAAAAGAGCUCUCAAAAAUCAAACUUUGAGUUCCGGGUUUCGGACCAAAAUUCAAUCGAAAGAACGCAUCUAAACCUUCAAUUGAGUAAUAGGAUUUUUUCCUGGGACGAAUCCUCGCCGUGUACGAAUUUUUUUAGAUUUCUGAAAAAAGCGUUUUUCCAAAAGCAAACCUUAAACCUUUCUUUUGUAAGAAAGGCAAAAAAAGGCAGAACGAAGUUUGUCGGGUAAGGCUUGUGUAUGUAUGUAUGUAACGCGUGGUCACUACCCUGUUUGAAAAAUGUCGCACGUCGUGCGAGCUGUCGCGCGGUUUUGAUUUUACCGUUUCGAUAUCGAUUGGUCGAAAGGACGACAAACGGACGACAAACACUCGACAUGCCCGACAUUGUUUUUUCCAUCGAUUUUCCUUCAAUUUGACGUCACGAUUUUCGUCGACGCAGUUUGACAGUUCUCUUCAGUUGGUCUUGUUUGGACUUGAUCAAAUCAGAGAAACUUUGAACCGAAUCGAACCAGUUUACGUUGUUGAAAAGUUCGUGUGGAUUUUUGCCGGUUGAUUGAUUUUCUGAUUUCGGCCUUCGUGGUGGAGGAGGAGGAGAACGGGUCACAUCGUUGCUCCGGCGGGCCAUGCCGGAAGACGGGAAGGGGAGCACCCGGUCUGUGAUCGAGGAAGCGGAUUGGUGUUUAACUUUCCGCGGGAUGUGGCGGUGCAUGGUUUUUAUACGGUAACCAAAAAUAUUCCAAUCGAAUCCUGCUGACAACCCAGCGUUUCCGUAUUGUCCCACGGAACGGAAGCUGUAACGAUCGCAAAAACACCUGCACUGGAAGUGCGUAUACCAACGUUGUCCCGUAGGCCAUCAAUCUGUGAGAAUUAAAUAGAAGCGCCGCUCCAGUGCCGUAUCUACACGCUGGUGUCGACUCCAAAAGAUGGCUGACAAAGUCCGGCCAAGAUGCCGAAGCGACGAGAUGAGCUGAAAGGCCAAUCGGAAGACAACGCCAAAAACCACGUGAAGAUCGCGACACACAACAAGAAAAAUUAAUGAAUGUUUGUGAAAUCGAGUGAAAAAGAUUAAUUAACAGAAAAAAUAUAUCUAAAAAUAAUUUAAAAUAUUUUUUCUUUUAUUUUUACUGCAACAUAACCUAAAAAACAGCACACGACAAAGGCACGACAACCUAAAUAACAAAACCGUGCGACGUCGGUCGAAUGUCGUACGACAAUGUCGAACAAUUUCGAUGAUCGAUCGCACGACAAAUACGACAUUUUGGUGCAAAAACGUAUGACAUUCGUGCGAAAGUCGCACGACAUUGUCGUGCGACGUCGUACGGUUGCACGGACGACAAACGACGGACGUCCGACGGACUUUUCAGUCAGGGUAGGGAAGGAAUGACCCAUAUUCAAUAUGCUUUCAACCGAGAUCAUUUUGUUUUUAUUUCUUGCAAAGCAUUUUAAAGUGUUUCAUACAUUUUCGAUACAGUCCUUAGUAUAUUUGGAGUUUACCACUUAAACUUUUUUUUAAAUAAUAUACAACUGGAUAUGCUCGGUUUGAAUUGUUACUACAACGAUCAAUGGCUGGAAUACACUGCGGCUCCACAUCUACAUCGACAAACCGGUGAGAGAACUGAACACAAAAAUAAAUCGCUAUGAAAUUCUACAAGCCUUCUAAAGUACAGGCGAUGUUUU